AUUGAACGCUGGCGGCAGGCUUAACACAUGCAAGUCGAGCGGAGAGAGGUAGGUUGCUACUGAUCUUAGCGGCGGAUGGGUGAGUAAUGCUUAGGAAUCUGCCUAUUAGUGGGGGACAACAUUUCGAAAGGAAUGCUAAUACCGCAUACGUCCUACGGGAGAAAGCAGGGGAUCUUCGGACCUUGCGCUAAUAGAUGAGCCUAAGUCGGAUUAGCUAGUUGGUGGGGUAAAGGCCUACCAAGGCGACGAUCUGUAGCGGGUCUGAGAGGAUGAUCCGCCACACUGGGACUGAGACACGGCCCAGACUCCUACGGGAGGCAGCAGUGGGGAAUAUUGGACGAGGGGCGGAAGCCUGAUCCAGCCAUGCCGCGUGUGUGAAGAAGGCCUUAUGGUUGUAAAGCACUUUAAGCGAGGAGGAGGCUACUUUAGUUAAUACCUAGAGAUAGUGGACGUUACUCGCAGAAUAAGCACCGGCUAACUCUGUGCCAGCCGCCGCCGUAA
rnacentral:rRNA from 1 species